rnacentral:rRNA from 11 species
GUUCCCAUACCGAACACGGAAGUUAAGCUCUCUAGCGCCGAUGGUAGUUGGGACCUUGUCCCUGUGAGAGUAGGACGUCGCCAAGC